GACGAACGCUGGCGGCGUGCUUAACACAUGCAAGUCGAACGGAAAGGCCCUGCUUGCCGGGUACUCGAGUGGCGAACGGGUGAGUAACACGUGGGUGAUCUGCCCUGCACUUCGGGAUAAGCUUGGGAAACUGGGUCUAAUACCGGAUAGGAACCAUCUUUAGUGUGGUGGUUGGAAAGUUUUUUCGGUGUAGGAUGAGCUCGCGGCCUAUCAGCUUGUUGGUGGGGUAAUGGCCUACCAAGGCGGCGACGGGUAGCCGGCCUGAGAGGGUGUACGGCCACAUUGGGACGGAGAUACGGCCCAGACUCCUACGGGAGGCAGCAGUGGGGAAUAUUGCACAAUGGGCGCAAGCCUGAUGCAGCGACGCCGCGUGGGGGAUGAAGGCCUUCGGGUUGUAAACUCCUUUCGCUAGGGACGAAGCUUUGUUGUGACGGUACCUAGAUAAGAAGCACCGGCUAACUACGUG
rnacentral:rRNA from 1 species